rnacentral:lncRNA from 1 species
UGUAAACUUUAUUGGUGAUGUGGGGCCCGUAGGCUGGGGGUUCCAAAGUCCACAAAUGGUCCCUUGGGACAACAUGCAGCCCACAGGACAUGCUUUGUCUGCCCUAGCAGGUCUUCAGAACUCCGGGCUACCAGCAGAGCAGAAAAGAAAAUGUAUUUUGUAAGAAGCAAGAGGCUGCCUUCCUCAAAAAUUUACCUUAAAUUAGAGCGGUGCACAGCUCUCUUGCUUGUGGAAAUGUUACCUUUAAAGAUAGACCCACUGAAAUAUAAUCAUCCAAGUUCUUCAGUCAAAAUGCAUAUUUUUC